UUUUUUGGGCUCCACAUGGAGUAUUUUUAUUCAAAGAAAAGUGCAAACAAACAACCACUCAGUGCAACCUUUGUUGCAGGUCAGGGUGGGGGUUGGGCGACUGGUGCAGGGAGUACAGUAGGUGUGAAAACCCCUGAUGGGGGGGUGGAUGUGCCUCACUCCCCUCUUCUUAGUGGCUGUGAAAAUGAAGAUAAAUUACUAUGUAGAACACAAAAUAAAUAAUAACAUCUGAACAUUUCCCUGAAGGACACAAAGGUUGUGGAUAUAUGUAAACUUAUUCAAUAAUUUGAGUAACCAUGACCUGUACUAUAUUUUGUUUGCAUUUGUAUUUACUUCAUGUUUUUGUUUUCAUAAAUAAUAUAUUCAAAGACAGAUAAAAUGCAACGUCUGCAAGCAAAGUAAGCCCAAAACGAACAAAUAUAGUGGAACUGCAGUAAUAUUCAAUGCUAUUGGAUUGCCAUACUUACUACUGUGUUUACAGUUUCAUGACAAAGGAGUCUACACAACACUGAGCCUUAUAAAUAAAUGCAAAUACUUACUAGUAAACGAGGUCCACUUCUAAUGUAAACAAUGCCUCCUCCUCGGAGACGACGUCGUUUCUGCUAAGUCAGAGGAGUCCUCAAAUUCACCGUCUGAGCCCUGCUGAAUUUCUCAUAAAAUGUCCGCCACAUCCCUCUAAGAGUUGAAUGUUUCUUCUCCAUUGUUGAAAAGUACUCAAAAGAAGUUUUAUAAGUGGUGGAGAAAGUUUACAGGAGAGUCCCGAGUGAUCAGCGUGCGAUGCAGCAGUCUGCCUUUGUCUGUGGGGCGCUGCACCU
rnacentral:lncRNA from 1 species